rnacentral:rRNA from 1 species
AGUGAACGCUGGCGGUAGGCCUAACACAUGCAAGUCGAACGGCAGCACAGUAAGAGCUUGCUCUUACGGGUGGCGAGUGGCGGACGGGUGAGGAAUACAUCGGAAUCUACUUUUUCGUGGGGGAUAACGUAGGGAAACUUACGCUAAUACCGCAUACGACCUACGGGUGAAAGCAGGGGAUCUUCGGACCUUGCGCGAUUGAAUGAGCCGAUGUCGGAUUAGCUAGUUGGCGGGGUAAAGGCCCACCAAGGCGACGAUCCGUAGCUGGUCUGAGAGGAUGAUCAGCCACACUGGAACUGAGACACGGUCCAGAAUCCUACGGGAGGCAGCAGUGGGGAAUAUUGGACAAUGGGCGCAAGCCUGAGCCAGCCAUACCGCGUGGGUGAAGAAGGCCUUCGGGUUGUAAAGCCCUUUUGUUGGGAAAGAAAAGCAGCAGGUUAAUACCCCGCUGUUCUGACGGUACCCAAAGAAUAAGCACCGGCUAACUUCGU